AUGCGCACGGCAGAGCUCAGGGUCCGACAGCGCCUCUCAGCAGGCCCGCACCCGGGGCUCUGGCCCCGCCCGAGUACACGUGCGCGUCAGGCCCCGCCCCCAGGCGCCCUGGCCCCGCCCCUCGCUCAACCACUGCGCUUCCCGUGGACCCUGAUGUGGUGAUGUUAGGAGACCCUCAGCUGCUGCGGUUCCUGGCUGAGUGAGGCCAGGCCCUCAGGCUCCAGCAUGGCCCUGCAAGACCACUGCUGCCCCCCUGCGGCCGUGCAGAGGAUCCUGCCCUGCCCUGGCUGUUGGACUCUGAAGAUGGACUUCAUCACUGGACUUUCAGUGGGGCUCAAGGUCAUUCCCCACGCGCUGGCCUGUGCUGAGGUGACCUGACUCCUGCCCCAGUGUGGCUUCUACUCUGCCUUCAUGGGUGCUUCGUGUAGUUCUUCCUGGUCACCUUCUGGCAUGUUACCCUGAGCCCACCUGUGCUGUGCUGCUG
rnacentral:lncRNA from 1 species